AGACAAAGGGUCAGCAUGGUGCCACCGCUGGAAUAUGGCCUUUAGCAUCCGCCCAAGAGGGCUGAGUGACAGCUAUGGCUUGGGGGAAGGUUGCCACAGGAAGGUGAGACAGGGUCAUUCUCAUGAACGGAAUUUCUAACAUGGAACGCAGGGCCAGCCGGGCAAAGUCCUGUCGGAUGGCAAGUUUUACUACAAGCUCAGAUUCUGCUACCUUCUAGCACAUGACAGAAGGACUCAGAACUGACACGCCUUACUGAGACGCAGCUGCAAAUAAUGGUGUGCAACCAAGACGGUGGAGUCCUUGGGGUGCCGGCCCAAGCAGCGGCAAGACAGGAGCAGCACAAGCUCACCAGGGCGCGGAAGGCCCUCUCCACUACACAUGGACAGUAGGUAGAAAUGGGAGUGGAGGAGCCCAUCCUGACCUGCAAGUUCCGCAGGGUUGCCUGCUCUGGGAUGGCACCUACUUCCCUCCGGCAGGCAGUGAAGCCCAACAGAAGCAGCCCGCUGUGCUGUGAUCCAUGCUGGGUUCUACAGAAACAGCACGCAAGGUGGGGACCUGACCAUGCUGGGUUCUACAGAAACAGCACACAAGGAGGGGACCUGACCAGGCCGCUAAGCCCCUCUCCUCUCUGGCAGCCUCCAACCUAAUCCCUUCUCCCGGACAAAGUUUCUCCCCAGAAGCUGGAGCAGGGGGGCUCACAGCCUUGCCGGAGGGGAUGAUCCUGGGCUGCUGACAAAGAGAGUGGCCAUGGUUUCUUCACAUUCACAGGAAUCAGGGAAAAUUAUUUUUUUUAAAGAAAUUAAGGGAAACAGAUUUCAAAACUUAUGGAAAAGAGGCGAAUAUGAUCUAAUAGCACCAGAGAUUCUAAAAGAGGCUGAAAAACUCUCAGAAGACAAAUUCUCUCCCAACAACCAGAAAACAGGCCACGAGGAGGAAAACAGAAGGCAUCUGAAGGCCUCAUGGUCCCCAGGUGUGGAAGUGGGUACUGGGGACAGCAAAACGUGCAUCCAUGCCUUCACCUGAGGGCAGGGGUUUGGAAGCCAGUCUCUUGCAGGUCUCCCUCACCCAGGUCCUGGGACGCCCCACGCAGAGUCGACCUUUAAGGGCUUGCAGCCUGGAGGAUGGGGCCGACGUGUAUGUGGAUGUGCCCAGCGUACUUGCCAGCAAGAAGCGAGCGCCAGGAGUGCAGGAGAAGGACCCCAAACCUCUGACUUCUAGGAGGCGUUUCCUUUCCCUGUGCCUCCACCUCUAUCUUGCCAGCUGCGCCUUCCAAGAAGAGGUGGCCAGAGCCCGGGUUCCACUGGGAUGAGGGGCACUGUAAAUACUGAAACUGUCUGUGACCUGCCACUUUGCAAUGGUGGGGUAGGCUCUGGCGGGGGGAAAAGGGGCGGUGCCUGUCUGUGCCAGGGAGAGGUUGAUAAGGAAGCACCUGCCUGCCAAGAAGCCCGACGGGGCCCUCGAGGCCAAGGCAGCAGCCACCAAGGCAAAGCACAGAGCGAGGGGACACUGCUGCAUGGGAAGCUGGAGAGGCGGCCCAACACGGGCGUGAAAGGCCAUGUCGUCCUCCGGGGGCAGCGGCCAGUGGUGAAGGACUAUCUGGAAGGCUGUUGGCGGAUGGGUGGCUACUGAGAGGGCUCAUUUCCUGAGGAUCUUUAUCAUUUCCAAAUCGGCCAUGGCUAGGAGGGAGAGGCGGGCUGAAGGGGCAGCCUGGUGCACACAAGUGUCAUGUCUAUGGCAGGGUCUAUGGUGGUACCAAACAAUGUGUCCAUAAGAACGUAAGAACCCCCAUAAGAACAAGGUCGGGAGGUGAAAGCCCAAGUGCUCAGAGUAAAAGUGCUCAGAUCAAGAAAAAGAGCUGUAAAAAAUGUGCCACGAGAAAGAAGGGAAAAGGGAAAGAGCUGCCAGGGGCCGGGGGUACCUUCCAAACCCCAGCUCUCUCUCUGCCUUCUCCACCAAGGAGGGUCACCUCAAAACUAGCCAGGAAGAGCAAACCCAGCCAAGUGGGAUCUGAAGACCAACACUGACAAGAGGGAGAAAAGCAUUCUGUUGAUAACCAUAAAACUGUGCAAGGUUCCCAGCAUGAACUCAUCUGUGGUGGAAAGAAAGCUUAGAGAAUCAGGGAGAGGCUGGGAGCCUCGAGGUUGGAAAUCCUAGAAGGGCCCAGUCCUUGACUGGAGCUUAUGGGUCUCAUGUUUAUCCUGAGAACAGUGCCAAGCGGCUAAUUUAAAAAGCAGGUAUAGCCUUAGGCUGCACUAGGGAAAGUGAUGGGCUGACGUGUUCUGCUCCACUGCCUAGGCGUUUGAUGAUUUCAGCAAUGCAUACGGCCACAGCUGUGUGGGACAGGGCAACGUGGGGAGAGACGAGACACACGGGAGGCCCAGGGAGCUGCGCGAGUGUCACGUGAACAGGGGUCAUGACGGGUCCCUAGGAAGCAUCACGUGUGCCCCACAGGACCCAGGUUUCUGUGGACACGCGGGUGUUCUUUCUCACCUGAGGACUUCAAAAUGUUAACAUGCUUCCUGGGCCCAGGUGCAACUUCAAAUUGGUCCUUACUGGCAUUUUCUACUAUGUGGUUGUGUCUGUGGUUCUAUCAGAUGUCUAGUCAGAGGACUCAACCUAUUCAUUCCCCUCUUUUUGUGUUCACUGCAGCUUGAUGGAGAACUGGCAUCUCUGUGUUAGCAAGAAGAUGGGGCUCUGGUAGCACCAUCUGUGCCUGGGACUGGGAGGCUGUAAAUAGCAGGGGGUGACGGGUCAACUAAAGAGCUUCCCCGAGGAGAAAAAUGGUUCAUACAGGGGUCACAUCUGUGGCAGGGUUUGUCUACUGAAGGUGUGUGUAAAUCUACCGAUCAAGAGACUGGCUUUUAAAAAAACAACACCCCCCACCACCAAAACCCACACAAAUUUGAAGACUAUAAACUUUAUAUUUAUCUAUAAGAUAUAGAUACAUAUAUAUAAUUCAUAAAAUUAUUCCUUGGCAUAAAAUAUACCCCUAGCUACUUAUGUAUAUGUGCAGCCCUCUUUCCCUAUGUUAGGGACCACUGAGUGUCCCGGUGGUGGAGCUGGUGGCUGAGGAGAGCUGUCAUUCUUUGCAUAUAGCACAUGCCAGGUAUUUCACUAAGCUUUUACCCCUUUUAAAGUCUUAAAAGGUGAGCAAUUCUUGUUGCCUCUGUGUGGCAUCUGGGGAAACUGAAGAUGGCAGUUUUGAGUGACUUUCCUGAAGCCACUUGGCUAGUGAGUGGUGGAGCCUGGAUUUGAACCCAAGCCCUGUGGCUCCAGGGCCCACAGCUAUAAGCACCAAGCUAUGUAGCCAAUUCCAGCUUGACCUAAAUCCCUCUGCCUCCAUCCCUCUUCCCUCAUUAAAUCAACAGACACAUACAGGGCAGUUAGAUGUCAUGAGAGCCACAGGCGUGACAGACAGCCCCCCCAGCUGAACCCAUCUCCAGUUUCAAAGGAGGGAACUUGUAAGAGAUCAGUGGUGUCAGCUCCAGUUCGUGCACCCUGGCCCUCUGGAAACUUCUUUUUUGGUAACAAUCAGUUCAUUCUUCAAGCCACAUCAGUUAAGAGCCAUCUCCAGGGAGGACUACAGGCCACUGAAAACUGUCUGGCACCGGAUUCAUAGUGAGCAGGUUUCGAGGCACUGUUGUUUGCCAUAUGUGCUGUUUCUUGGCAGCGCUUUGUGGUUCUUUUAGCCUUGUACUGGGCUCAGAAGAUACAAAAAGACCCCAGAAGAAUUUCAUGGCACCAUUAAAACCCAUUUACCUUACUGUGCCCGAGCAAGUGGGACAUCCGACCCAGAGCUGGGGACACAGUAGUCAGCCUUUAAGAGAAAAUGAAGACCCUUUUGAGCAAAGACCACAGACUAGCUAAAAGCACUUCACAAGCACUGCCCGUAGGUGCAGGAGACACCCAGGCCUGGGAGAGGGAAGCCAGUGAAGUCUCUCCUGUGCCCAGAGUGUUUUUUGAUUGUUUUCUUUUGUUCCUGUGUCAAAUGAUAUGUUACUUCAUUAAACUUACAAAAUGGCCAUUUAGCAUGCAAUCAGCUGUUUUAGAUCCUCAUCGUGCUCAUUUCACACACUGCUUCAUGUAAUUACCUCUAUUUGGUAAUUUUUGAGGUAUUUUGAGAUCAUUUACAUGGGCUUUGCUGGGCUCCCUGCCUGCUGCACCUAAGUGAAUGGCCGGUCAUCGGGAGUUUCAGGCCACGGGGAAAGUGCUCGUGUGCGGAGCCCCGUGUGCCUCACAGCCUCCGAGCUGGUGCUGGGCUCGGAAAGCCAAGAGGCCAGAGGCGCCACAUCUUUGCUUUCUCCACGUUGAUGGCGCAUGCGUGUCGGGAGUGUCUGGACUAAGCGCCCCGUCAGGCUGAUGUCUGGUUUCUGUACACUGUCUUUAAGCUGAGACUAAGAAAACCAAUUUUUAAAAAACCUGUAGGGAAUCAUAAGGUAUUAAUCAUGGAAGUCGAUCAAUGAAGCCCUACUGAGUGACUUCACCAUUUGUGUGGGAUGGCAGUUCCUGACUGACCUCUCCCUAUUGCUAGAUAUGCGUUCUAAAUUUCUCUUCAAAGAAUCAGUAUGUCAAUAUGUUCAAUUCUUUGCCUUCUACUUUUAAACUUAACUUCCUCGUAAAGCAACCUUUUCUGAUUACCUGCUCCACCCUGACUCAUUCCGAUUUCCUGCUCUGCCGUAAUCAUUUUUCCCCCCAAACCACUCACCCC
ensembl:lncRNA novel transcript, antisense to ANKH